rnacentral:rRNA from 1 species
UACGAAGGGGGCUAGCGUUGUUCGGAAUUACUGGGCGUAAAGCGUGCGCAGGCGGUUUUGCAAGCCGGAUGUGAAAUCCCCGGGCUUAACCUGGGAAUGGCAUUUGGGACUGCAAGGCUGGAGUGCGGCAGAGGAGACUGGAAUUCCUGGUGUAGCAGUGAAAUGCGUAGAUAUCAGGAGGAACACCGAUGGCGAAGGCAGGUCUCUGGGCUGACACUGACGCUCAUGCACGAAAGCGUGGGGAGCAAACAGG